rnacentral:rRNA from 1 species
GGGGGCGUGCCUAAUACAUGCAAGUCGAGCGGACAGAUAAGGAGCUUGCUCCUUUGACGUUAGCGGCGGACGGGUGAGUAACACGUGGGCAACCUGCCCCUUAGACUGGGAUAACUCCGGGAAACCGGAGCUAAUACCGGAUAAUCCCUUUCUCCACCUGGAGAGAGGGUGAAAGAUGGCUUCGGCUAUCACUAAGGGAUGGGCCCGCGGCGCAUUAGCUAGUUGGUAAGGUAACGGCUUACCAAGGCAACGAUGCGCCCGACCUGAGAGGGUGAUCGGCCACACUGGGACUGAGACACGGCCCAGACUCCUACGGGAGGCAGCAGUACAGGGAAUCUUCCGCAGUGGACGAAAGUCUGACGGAACAACGCCGCGUGAGUGAGGAAGGCCUUCGGGUCGUAAAGCUGUGUUGUGAGGGAAGAAGCGGUACCGUU